UCAAACUUGGUCAUUUAGAGGAAGUAAAAGUCGUAACAAGGUUUCCGUAGGUGAACCUGCGGAAGGAUCAUUAUUGAAAAUUUUGGAAAUAUUGUUGCUGGCCUUUAACAAGGCAUGUGCACGUGUUUCUAAUAUCUUCAUCCACCUGUGCACUUUUUGUAGGAGUUCUUUUUAGAUUGGCUUAUAGGUUUCGACCUUGUAGUUGAUUUGAAAGGCUUCUAUGUUUUACAAACUAGUUAAGCAUGUUUAGAAUGUCUUUUAUUGGGACUUGAUUGACCCUUUAAACUUUAUACAACUUUCAGCAACGGAUCUCUUGGCUCUCCCAUCGAUGAAGAACGCAGC
rnacentral:misc_RNA from 1 species